GCCGGGGGAACCGGAGAGGUGGCAGAGCGGUUGAAUGUACCUGACUCGAAAUCAGGCAGGCGUUUAUAGCGCCUCGGGGGUUCGAAUCCCCCCCUCUCCGCCAGACAAAAAGAAAAGGGCCACCCCACGGGUGGCCCUUUUCUUUUUGCCUGCCGAGAGCGGGCAGGAGAGA
rnacentral:sRNA from 1 species